GCGUGCAGCAUGUCAUCAGCUUAUCUUCUUCCUCUAAGUUGAGGAUUGUUUCCAGCAGGAGCAUAGUAUUUGAAACUUCACAUAAUUUUUCGCUUAUCUCUUCCAGUUGGAGCUGUCUCCAUACUUGCUUCACCCUUUUUACAUUUAAAGAACACAUGGCCUUCAUCUUCAUCUAGUCUGAGGCAUAGUGGGCAUCCAGUAUCCACAUCCAUGCCUCUCGUCUUCUGAUUCAUACGUAAUGGAAGGCUGUUUGUGGUUAGCCUCCAUAGGAAAUGAAGAAUUUUGCUUGGGAGCGGUAUAGACCACAUUUUCUUCCAUUGACUUCACCUUGUUUCCUGGUUAGAAUCUGAGUUAGAAGGUUUCCCAUGUAUGGAUGCAUGGGCUUCCCAGUCCCUUGCAACUUUUUUUUAUCAAGGCAACAGUUUGUGCCGACGCGGAAGCGUCGUGGCCAUCCAAGGAAAGAGAAGCCAGACCAAGCUAAUAUGCAUAAAUAUAAUUCAGAUUAAGAUUGUCUAGAACAGACCCUUUGCUCCAACAGCUGGAGCACCCGAAGCAUGGCCGUCCGAGGAAACAGCCGCAGGACCAAGCCAGCCAAGCUAUCGUGGUUUCACCUGACGGAGCUAAGCCCAAGAAAAUUCAGAGCGAGAAGAAAAUUGUAUCUCAGUGCUCGCCUGUGGAGUUUGUAAAAUUAGUUCUGGGCAAGCUGAACGACACGCGGAAUGGUUUCUCUCGUAUCGAGAAAAUUAACUGGCACUGUUUAUUUAAUAUCCAGAAAGUGAAACUCAACAAGCAAUUGUGAGUUAUUUCUGCUUGAUCGUUUUGAUAGAGAAGGUUCUUCAUGUAUAUGUUUAUACUCAAAUCCUUUGUGACAACUUCAUUGUGCAAGAUUCAACUCUGAUCAUAUUUAGAUCAUGUAACUGUUGCUAGUCGCUGUUACAUCUUUCGCAUGCUAGUUCGAUAUGAUAGUGAUGUCAUUGUUUAAUAGUAUUCACUUACUGAAUUUCAUCACCUCAAAAAGGAAUAUUUAUUGUGAUACCAUUUAUGCUACCUGAGUUACCAUGAGCAGGUAUUGAUUUAUAUGUGUAUUCUUUAACGUGUAGGCUAUUAUAGAUGGGGAAACGAAGGAUGGCCACAAUGAUCCACAUUCCGUACCAUCAGAAGAGCUAUCAGCUUCUUUGGGGUAAAACCGGGUAUGAUCAGCAGAUUCUCCCCCAACAACCUUGACUGUUGCUGCUCCUGCAGUCCAUGAAGUGUCAGGUGGUAGUUGCUGAUUGUAGUUGUAGGUGGUAUUUUGUGAAGAAGUUCGUUGUUGUCAGAACCUUGUAGCCCAGGUGUAAAUUGAGCUAGCUGUAGUUUCGCUUCUCAAUCGAACUGUUAAGAAUAUCUUGGUGCCAAUGUCGAUCAGUUUUUGUAUGCCACUCGGUCUGAGAUCCAUGGUUGUUUUUGUUUGCUUAACUUGUAGCAAGUGGUAGAAAUGUUACGGAUCCUCCUUGUCAAGCUGGCAAGCGAAAACAUUUCCCCAACUUUCA